UCAAAUGCGCCGAACUGCGAAAU
rnacentral:miRNA from 1 species